ACCUUCAGCAAUCUGCCCACCUCGGCCUCCCAGAGUGCUAGGAUUACAGGCGUGAGCCACUGGGCCCGGCCUCACGUCCUCAACUCUUAACAAGCUUGUGCGAAAGGCCAGGAGGCGACGUUGUGCACACCAAUUUUUUCCUGAGAGGAGCUGAUCACUUUGUUUUAGCAUCUCCUGAAAGCGUAGCCGGUGACGGAGUGUUCCAAAUUAAUGGAAAUCAACGGCCUGGAUUUAAAUGCCAGUUCCACUAUUCAGUAUCCUGGGCGGUUUCGUAGCCCUGUGCCUGGGUUUCCUCACAUGGUAUGUAUGUAUGUAUACAUACAUACAUAUGGUAAUACCUGCGUACAGGCGUAUGAGGGUGAAUGAGAUAAUGCAUUGCAAAGUUCUGACAACAGAGCUUGGCACAUAAAGAUGCCAUGUAUGAGUAUUUUUCUUUCUUUGUCUUUCACGUGUAACUGAACAAGUUUGUUUGAGCACCCAGGCACUAUUCUAGGCUGUGGGCAGUGAACUAAACAAGUCCCUGCUUCUGAGACAAACAGUAAACAAACCAAUAUGGGACGAUUUUGAGUGUUGUGGAGAAAAACAGCACCGGGUGAGGAGGGGAGGGAGUGCAGAAGGUUGUUAUUCACAGUGGCCCUGCAGGGAGCAGCCCCCUGGAGAAGGUGAGGGCCUGUGAGCUUUGUGUGUGGAAGGGCAGAGGGAACAGCAGCACCCAGGCCCUGAGGCGGGAAUGUGCUGGCUCAGAGCGCCAAGGGAGAACAGGAGAUGAGGAGAAAGUGGGGGCCUGCAGACCAAAGUGAGGACUUUGGUUUUCACUCGAAAUGAGAUGGGAAGUGAUCUGCAGGGUUGUGAGCAGAGAAGGGAUGUGGGCUGACAUUUCAAAAGGAUCCCUGCAGCUGUGGUGUGAAGACCAGACUGCAGGGCUGGAGCGUGUCAGCAGGGAGAUCAGUCAGAAGGCUGUUGAAAUACUCCAGUCAAGAGAAGAUGGGGCUUGGUCCGGGGUGUUAGCAGUGGAGGAAUAAAGAAGCGGUCACUUCUAAACACAUUUAAAAGGCAGAGGUGACAGGAUUUUGCAGAUUUCGAUUUUUUUUUUCUCUCAAGCAACUGUAGGAUAUAAUUUGGUGACACAGGGAAGACAAACAGAAACAGAUGUGAAGGGAGGAACUUGGGGAUUCGUUUGGGGGCAUAUAAAGUUUGAGCUUCCUGGUGGACACCCAAGCUGGAAGUUGGACAGAGAGUUCUGUAGGUUCGGGAGAGAGAGCCAGGCUGGAGGCAGAGUUUUGGCAGUGCUCAGAGUAAAACCUCAGACUCAGUGAGAUCCUGUAGGGAGUCAGUGCUAAUAAAGAGGAAGGCCAAGGACCGAGCCCAAGUCCCCUAACGUUAAGAGGUGUGGGAAUGACAAGGAACCAGCAAAGGAUUCUGCCAGGGAGGAGCCAGUGUGUCAGGAAGAGACCCAAGAGAAUCAUCUACUGGAAGAGGAAGGACAGCUCUGAGGGAGGAGGAUGAGUCCUGCUGCCAGUGCAGCUGAUAGUUCAAGUACGAUUAGGAUUGGUGAUUGGUCUUUAGCCUUUGUAAGUGCAGAGGUGGGUGGGAAAGCCUGAUUGGAGCGGUUUCUAGAAAGAAUGAGACCUCGAAAGAUCUCUAGGAAAAAAUGAAGCUCUAGAAAGAAAGACCACUGGUGUGGACAACAUUUUCAUGAAGUUUUGUUUCUAACCAAGUAGCAGAGAAAUGGUAUGGUAGCUGGAGGGGAAUUUGGGGUGGAAGCACAUUUUCUGUGUUAUUUCAUUUUGUUUUGUUUUUUGGAUGGGAGCGCUUAUAGCACCUGCUUAAGUGCUGAUGGGAAGGAUUCAGGAGUGAGGGAAACUUUGACGAGGGGGAUGUUUUCUGGAGAGCUGUCCUGAGUAACGGAGAAGGGAAGGAUGCAGAGCACAGCACAGGGUCUGGCCUCGGAUAGAAGCAAGGUGACGUGCUCUCAUGGGACCAGGGCAGGUAGAAUGUGGGCAGAGAGGCAGGGAACCAGGUAGGUGAGGUCCCAGGGCCUUAUGGGCCAUCCCUUCCAAGUAAGGGCUUCUGUUUGCUCAGGAAAACAGGAAGAGCAGUCAUUCAUGUGCUUAGAGUUCAGAGUGCAGAGGGUGUUGGAAGCUUGGGGGAGAGAAGGCAUAAAGGACCAGUCGGCAGGAUUAUUCUGUGUUUUUCAGGGUUAUUCUGUGUUUUUCGGCAGCUACAUUUUGCUGGGAACGUGUAGGCGCAGGAAGAUGGGGAAUUAAACUCUACCAGAGUUAUUUUUGCUAGAUAAUUCUAUGGAGAGAAAGUGGAAAGGAAAGUGAAGGUAUUUAUAAAGAAGUCAUAAUAAUGGUGAACUGUUGAAUCCACGCCUGCCAAGGAUGAGUGAGGAGGGGUGGGGCAGUGGGAGGAGAGAGACCACAUAAAGCAAUAAAUGAGGAUCAGUGGAUUGUUGGAAUCACACAGUAGGGGGAGGGCACCGGAAAGGAGGAGGUGCCAGUUGGAGAGCCAGGUUGCUUGACACUGGGAUUAUGGAAGGAGUGGUUUUCGGGAAUGUCAAGGCCAGAGGCAUCUUUGUAAAUUGUAUUAUGCAUGUGCAUUUCUAGGGAUCUUGUUGAAAUGCAGAUAUUGGUUCCAGUGGUCCACCAUGAUUCUGCAUUUUUAACAAGCUAAGGGUAGGGGAGGGUGUUGUUUAAUUUUUUUUUUUUUCAGCAAUUGUCUUGCUAUAUUGCCCAGGGUAAGGUGCAGUGCCUACUCACAAGUGCAAUCAUAGCUCACUGCAGCCUUGAACUCCUGGGCUCAAGUGAGCCUUCUGCCUCAGCCUCUUGAGAAGCUGGAACUACAGGCCAUCAUGCCCAGCUUAUUCUUAUUAUUGGCAUGAUGCCAGAACCUCAACAAAUGCAACUCAAAAAAGGAAGACCGGAUGAAUCUUGUUGAUGAAUAUAGCCUGAAUUGGCAUCACCAAGAAUUAAAACCUGACUGCCCAGAUGUCUGUCAGGACUCUAGCUUGCCAGGGAUCCCUCUUUUAAGAUGCCUGACCUCCAGGAUGCUAAGAAACUCACCUCUCAACAGGCGGUUCGACUGGAUUUAUGGGAACAAUAACCAACCCUGAGGGACAGCUUAUUAGGGCCUGCAUCACCCCACUUAGGAGAACUGGUGAAUCUGCUGACCACUGAGGACCAUAUUUGGUCAGGAUCUCACAGUUUCUGAUGGAAGAUUCAUCUUCAUCCUUCCUCACAACUCCGGUGAGACUCUGGGAUGACUCCCUUGUUUACCUGCCUCUGUAAAACCCCAGGCCCUCUUCCUUUUCUUUGAGAUGUUCCUAAUGAAUGUUCUCCUAUCACACUAGCCUGAAUAAAAUCAUCUCUUUAACGAUCAGGUGAA